CAAGUUUCCAUGUGUUAGGGUUAAGGGUUAGGAUUAGAAGUUAUGGUUAGGGUUUUAGGGUUAGGAUUAGAGGUUAGGGUUAAGGGUUGGGGUAAGGGUUAGGGGUUAUGGUUAAGAUUAGGAUUAGGGGUUAGGGUUAAGGGUUAGGGUUUAAAGGUUAGGAUUUUGGGUUAGGAUUAGGAUUAAGGGGUUAAGCGGUAGUGGUUAGGAUUAAGGGUUAGGUUAGGGUUGCGGUAAGGGUUAGUGGUUAUGGUUUAGGAUUAGGGGUUAGGAUUAGGGGUUAGGGUUAAUGGUUAGGGCUGGGGUAAGAGUUAGUGGUUAUGGUUUAGGAUUAGGGUUAAGGGUUAGGAUUAGGGUUGGGGUAAGGGUUAGUGGUUAUGGUUUAGGAUUAGGGGUUAGGGUUAAGGGUUAAGAUUAGGCGUUAGGGUUAAGGGUUAGGAUUAGGGUUGUGGUAAGGGUUAGUGGUUAUGGUUUAGGAUUAGGGGUUAUGGUUAAUGGCUGCGGUUGAGGUAAGGGUUAGUGGUUAUGGUUUAGGAUCAGGGGUUAGGGUUAGGAUUAGGAUUAGGGUUGGGAUAGGGUAAAUGGUUAUGGUUAAGGGUUAGGAUUAGGGGUUAGGGUUAGGAUAAAGGGGUUAAGCGUUAGAGGUUAGGGUUAAGUUAGGAUUACGG
ensembl:lncRNA